rnacentral:rRNA from 1 species
UACGGAGGAUCCGAGCGUUAUCCGGAUUUAUUGGGUUUAAAGGGAGCGUAGGUGGAUUGUUAAGUCAGUUGUGAAAGUUUGCGGCUCAACCGUAAAAUUGCAGUUGAUACUGGCAUCCUUGAGUACAGUAGAGGUAGGCGGAAUUCGUGGUGUAGCGGUGAAAUGCUUAGAUAUCACGAAGAACUCCGAUUGCGAAGGCAGCCUGCCGGACUGUAACUGACGCUGAUGCACGAGAGCAUGGGUAGCGAACAGG